CACGUAGGGGGCAAGCGCUGUCCGGAUUUAUUGGGCGUAAGGAGCUCGUAGGCGGUUCGGUAAGUCGGGUGUGAAACCUCCAGGCUCAACCUGGAGACGCCACCCGAUACUGCUGUGACUAGAGUCCGGUAGGGGAGCGUGGAAUUCCUGGUGUAGCGGUGAAAUGCGCAGAUAUCAGGAGGAACACCAGCGGCGAAGGCGGCGCUCUGGGCCGGAACUGACGCUGAGGAGCGAAAGCGUGGGGAGCAAACAGG
rnacentral:rRNA from 1 species